rnacentral:rRNA from 1 species
AGGAAUACCAGUGGCGAAAGGCGGCCCCUGGCACAAUACUGACGCUCAGGUUGCGNAAAGCNGUNGGGGAGCAAACAGUGUAUUAGAUACCCUGGUAGUCCACGCCGUAAACGAUGUCUACUAGCUGUUCGUGGUCUUGUACUGUGAGUAGCGCAGCUAACGCACUAAGUAGACCGCCUGGGGAGUACGGUCGCAAGAUUAAAACUCAAAUGAAUUGACGGGGGCCCGCACAAGCGGUGGAGCAUGUGGUUUAAUUCGACGCAACGCGAAGAACCUUACCUACUCUUGACAUCUAGCGAAGAUUGCAGAGAUGCAGUUGUGCCUUCGGGAACGCUAAGACAGGUGCUGCAUGGCUGUCGUCAGCUCGUGUUGUGAAAUGUUGGGUUAAGUCCCGCAACGAGCGCAACCCUUAUCCUUAGUUGCCAGCACGUAAUGGUGGGAACUCUAGGGAGACUGCCGGUGAUAAACCGGAGGAAGGUGGGGACGACGUCAAGUCAUCAUGGCCCUUACGAGUAGGGCUACACACGUGCUACAAUGGUACGUACAGAGGGAGGCAAGCUGGCGACAGUGAGCGGAUCUCUUAAAGCGUAUCGUAGUCCGGAUCGCAGUCUGCAACUCGACUGCGUGAAGUCGGAAUCGCUAGUAAUCGCAAAUCAGAAUGUUGCGGUGAAUACGUUCCCGGGCCUUGUACACACCGCCCGUCACACCAUGGGAGUGGGUUGCAAAAGAAGUAGGUAGCUUAACCUUCGGGAGGGCGCUUACCACUUUGUGAUUCAUGACUGGGGUGAAGUCGUAACAAGGUAACC